rnacentral:lncRNA from 1 species
GAGAGGUCAUCGUCAGAGUCGCCGGUUGAUGGAGUCGGAGUCGUCGCUGAUAGGUCAUCGUGGAGGAGAGAUCAGCAGAUGGAGUCGGAGUCGCCGAGGAGACACGAAAGAAAGAGAGAGAAUGCUUUGAGAGAGAGAGAGAGGGAUGAGAUAAUGACACGUGUUCACAAAACCCGUCUCUUGUGUGGCUUAAUUAAGCGACGUCUCCUCUUUAAUUAGCCAAUUUUUCUUUUUUUUUAAAUCUGAAUACAUUGAAUACGGGCUUUAAGAGCCCGCGAUAAUGGUGCUCUAACACCCUCUUGCAGUUGGAGCGCGGGGAUCUAACACGUCUAGACUGGAGUGAAAGUCGAUGAACAAAGAAGACGGUAAACCUUUAGUGAAUAUGUCUGCAUAUUGCGAUGUGGAAGGUAUAUGUACAACUCAAACCUCACCCUUUUGGACCUUAUCUCUCACAAAAAUGUUGGACCCAAACGUGUUUUGAAACCUGUGUGCGAAGAAGACGCGGCGGCGGAGGAAAACGUGAGGUUGACGAGAAGUGAGUCUCUGAGUCGGCUGAUGGCGCCGGAGUCAUCGCGGAGAGGUCAUCGUCAGAGUCGCCGGUUGAUGGAGUCGGAGUCGUCGCUGAUAGGUCAUCGUGGAGGAGAGAUCAGCAGAUGGAGUCGGAGUCGCCGAGGAGACACGAAAGAAAGAGAGAGAAUGCUUUGGUAGAGAGAGAGAGGGAUGAGAUAAUGACACGUGUUCACAAAACCCGUCUCUUGUGUGGCUUAAUUAAGCGACGUCUCC